GAUGAACGCUAGCGACAGGCCUAACACAUGCAAGUCGAGGGGCAGCACGAAGUAAGCUUGCUUACUUUGGUGGCGACCGGCGCACGGGUGCGUAACAGGUGUGCAAUCUGUCCAUAAUCGGGGAAUAGCCCAGCGAAAGUUGGAUUAAUGCUCCAUGUGAGUUUUAGAGGCAUCUCUUUAAUUUGAAACGUAAGGAUUAUGGGUGAGCACGCUUCUGAUUAGGUAGUUGGUGAGGUAACGGCUCACCAAGCCGACGAUCAGUAGGGGUUCUGAGAGGAAGGUCCCCCACAUUGGAACUGAGACACGGUCCAAACUCCUACGGGAGGCAGCAGUGAGGAAUAUUGGUCAAUGGGCGAAAGCCUGAACCAGCCAAGCCGCGUGAAGGAUGAAGGUUCUAUGGAUUGUAAACUUCUUUUGUCUGAGGGUAAAAAAGCGGACGUGUCCGUUCUUGCAAGUAUCAGACGAAUAAGCAUCGGCUAACUCCGUGCCAGCAGCCGCAGUAACAC
rnacentral:rRNA from 1 species